CGAGCGGCGGCAGGAGCCAGGCGACAGGGCGGUGGCCGGGUGGUGAUGGUGAUCCGUGGCCCGGCGGUGCCAGCCAACGUGGCUGGUCAGGCACGCCAGCAGAGAGCAAUGUUUUAAGGUGGAGAGUGAAGGAUACAAUAUCCAACCAAUCCAAUUCUAGCAGAUGGGUGCAGAUGGGACCUUUGGAAGUCAUCUACUCCAUCCCCUGCCCCACAGCAGCGGCAGCCAGGUGGAUGGUGCUUCAAAACCAACAACCACAACUUUGUCCAAACAUCCAGGUAGUGCUUUAACACUAUGGCUCUUUGUCCUCCUGAUGGAAAAAUCCAGAUGGAAAGAAGUGUGGUUCACAGGGAAAUGAUCAUGCUCUACUCUGGGCUGCUGGAGAAUGAUUGACUAGCCAGACCUUCAGGUCAAACCUGCCUUGGCACUUUUUGCACCUGUCUUGGGAAUCAGGUGUCCACAAUAUCCAUUACUAAAUAUCGAAUUAUAUAAUGUGGGCAGCAAACAGCCAGCAUCUGCCUCACAGGCUGGAAAUAUAUUUGUCACUACACACCAAGAUUCAUUUCACAGUGGCAGCAAGGAGGAGGAUGACGAGAGAUCCAGAGUGAAGCAGCAAAAGAAAAACAUUUAAAGCAACUUUCAAUGGUUGAGAUGAUGAGGAGAAACAACUGAUGAUAUGGAUCUCUAUCACCUGGGCAGGAACACCCUUGCCCCAUGCAAUGAUGCUAACACAGACACCAGUGCCCUCACACCUUCCCCCUCAGGUUUUGGAUCCUACUUGGCUUUUUAAGGUAUUGUUUCUAAUACUGCUUCUUUUGGUGAAACGACUUUGUUCCCAGCUUGGUUCUGCAGUUAGGAACAGAUUCCCCUUCAUCUUGGGAGGAAGGCAAGUGAUGGAAAUGCUGCAGCUGUUGGCAAUGCUGCAAGAGCACUGCCAGCAUCUGGGAGCUUUCUUUUGCCCUUCGGCUGCCCACCUCUGAGUUACAGGGUCCCACUUGCUAUUCGGAGGGAGAUUAAGCCUUUCUGAAAAUGAACAGGUUUAACAGAGCACAAAAUUACUUUGAAUCUGUCUCAUCCAGGACAUCCUACAACUGGGUCCUUUUGCCAGGCUUCCAGCAUCUAGGUAAAAGCAGCUCCAGGGUAUGCUUAAUCCUGCUCUGGACACGAGGUGAGCGAGCGCAUAUCCUUUACAUGUUGAGGUUUUAGUAGGUAUGUGUGUAUGGGGGAAACGACACUACAGACAUCUGUUUGCCUUCCAUGCUUGAAAGGAAAAUCCUCCCAUUUCAGCACUGAACCUUUACCUUCAAAUGCCAAUUUGCUGUCUUUUUUCAGUGAAGACAAUAGUGAGAAACUGUUCAGCACAGGUGGUUUACCCCCAAAACAAAAGCAAAUUCAUGGCUGUCCAGGAAUUUGGAAGCUCUGGGUAGAAGGGAUUUUCUAUUUCUAUUCUGCUGGGUGAGGUGUAUAUACCAGAGUUUUCUGCUUCUGUUCUGUUGCGCAGGUGCAUGUAUCGGUGAGGGAACAAGCGUACGUGCAGGUCGGCUCAGAAGGGAGGAUGCUUCUGCUCAGGGGACAUAAUGGCUGCUGUGGUGCUGGAUCGGGUCCUGAGAGGGCUGCCCUGAGCUCUGCCCUUCUCCUGCCACUUACUCUUGACCAUUGCCACAAGUAAAGGCUGAGAUUGCGUAGGUCAGUUCUAACCCAAAAGGUCAGAUCUGCUCUGAAAUGCAGGAGCCCAGCGGUGGCUCAGCUCACCUGCGCCCUUUUCUGUAUUCCUGGCACCAUCAGGCACAGGCAGGCGGUUACACACUUGCCGACUAGCGGAACAGAAAAGCAGCCCGUAGAGCUGAGGUGCUUUCUUAUCCUGACGCGCUAAAUGCCUGCCCCGCUUUCUCCACCCGUGGUGACAGCAGGCUGUGCUAGGGUCUGCUGAUCCCCCCUGCCCCUUUUCCUGCCUUUCUCAAGUCAUAAACAGUUGUCAUUAUCGAGUGACUCCGUCCGGCCCCUCCAUUAGCUCAAGCAUCCUGUUGAUCGGUCACAACCCGACUGAUGGCAGGCGAGACCUCCAUGGCUGAAAAUUCAGGCUCCCUCUGCUAGCAGAGGUGCUGGCAUGGUGGUGGCGAGGCUCCCUUCACCUGCUGGCUGCUUACGUCUCCGUGCAGGAUGCUGCACCUGGAUUUCACAGCUUUUCUGCGUGGCUACUCACAGCCUCCUAGUGGGAUCUGAUAGCACCAGCCACCCCACCCUGGCAGAGACCUGGCACCUCUUGGCACAGGAAUGCAGCCUGCUACCCCCGGAGGAAAUAAAAGACAAAAUCCUGGCCAAAGCAGGAGCCAUGAGAGCAGAGCUAAGGUUCUGGCUGCCUAAAUGUUUAUCUUCAGUCUGUAUUUGAUGUUUGGGUAACAAGGUGACCGGCUUCCUACGGAAACCUAAGGCAGGUUAAAUGACCCAGAGGAAAACAGUGGUUUUCCUGAGCUGCAGGACAGAGGAUGUGCAGAGCCUCACCAUUGCUCACUCGCAGCCUCUGUGCCUGAGGAUUUCAUGCAGCGUCUCUUCCUAAGCCCUUCAGAUGAGGGCUUGCAGUCUGGUCGAUACAGUCGCGCUUCUUUUUUAUUUCUAAAAGGAAUGGCUGUCCCUUUGUACUGUGUGCGUUUUGUCAUGCUGCUUUGGUUCACCCACCGUUUUCCCAAGUUUGCUAAAGAAGCUGUCUCUGAAAACAAGAAUGGAGAAAAAGAAAACUAUCAAAGACUUUUGGAAUUUGUUUUACAUAUGGGGAGAGAUUUUUCAAAGGCAGAAAGGAGAGUCUAUCAGGUUAUGUGCCUGAGUACUAUUUAUGCCCUUGAAAAUCUUUUGCUUACAGUGCUUAAUUGGUCUGCGCAAAUCCAUUGCCAGAAGAGGUAAUUGACCAUUUUUAUAGAAGGAUCAGUAACAAAACCACUCCAGGUUAUUGUUCUAGAAAUUAAAAAAAAAUUAGGAAUUAUGGAAAGAAUAUGUUUCAGGGCAUCAGCCAGCCUCCUGAAACUAUGCAAAUUCACUCGGUGAGAACAACAGCAGACACAAUGAAAUGAGUUGUAUACGAAGAACUGAGCUCUCAAAUGUGAUAUUAUGCAGAAGGUAAAGAGUCUGUACUAGAUAAGUAACAGCUCGAUGUGUUAUCAAGGGUGCACUUUGAUUUUGAUGAAUGUUAGAAGAACCUUUAGCCUUGAAAAUAAAGAGGAUAAUUUCUCUCUAGGCAAUGGCUGCUCAUGAAAGUCAUAAAAUAAGAGCACUGGAGCCCUAAUUUUAUAGUGCUUUUUAAAUGAUUUUCAAAUGGUCCAGCUGCUUUGUGCCACAAUAACACAAGGCAGAGAUAUUUACACCGGCGAUAACAAGCAUGCAUCAGCCUGCCCGAGCUGCUCUCCGCAGGCAGCCUGCAUUAGGCGAAACACACAUGGAAAGCUGGUACUUGCCAAUGCGGAUUGAUCACAAUUACACCGUGGCCUGAGCGAUCCUGGGAAGCCGCUUUUUCCACCAGACAGCUUGAUUGUUUUUCUAGUCUGUGUCUCGCCUGCGAGGCACGGGAUGUACGCACCCGGCGAUGCUGGUUCUAUUUUGACACUUGAGAGCCUGCCAGCUCUGUGUACCUCUUAGGCCAUGCCGUCCUUGGCAGGCUUCUCUUUUCAGAAACAGGAGGGUGGAUGCAGCCCGGGGUUGCACCGCUGUUUUUUGGUGGGAGUUUCUCCCGCGAUUAAUUUGGCCCCAGUGUUGGUGUUCCAACAUUGCGCUGCGCUGUCUCGCACAGGAAUGCAUGUGUGUGGCAAAUGACAUCUGGGCAGAUCCUACCUAGUUCUGCUGACGUGCUGGAAUUGCCACCAGCAACUUUCCCCAGGUAUUUUACCUCGGCAUGUCUAGGACUUCAGUCUAAAACUAUAAUUUGUUUUCCCGGACCUGUUCUAAGAUAAGAACUACCCCAGGGUGGUCUAGCUUAGCUUUCCAAUUUGGGUAGUCAUUUCAAAAGUCUGAUUAGUAUUUUAUCUUUGCAGGCCCCUUUCCUUUGCGAGACAUGGAUGAAAGACAGGAUACUGGGAGAAACCUGCCCUUGGAGCAAGCCAGGUAUGGCUGAAAGACCAGUUCCUUUAUGAAACACCCCUGUCAGAUUAAAGAACUUGGCUCUUUGUGCAUUCACCAUUGCUCAAGACACAGCAAUGUUUGUGUAAAAAGAAUUUUGGUAGGAAUGGGGAAUUCUGAGCAUGAAAAGAAGGCUAAUUUGUGGCUGAAAAAAUAUUAUAUUUGCUGUAAAUCUCAGGUCCCUAAAGCUAAGAUAGAGCUGGGCAGAGGGCAUGGCGGCAGGAAGGUACCUCUGGGAAGUCCUCAGCCAUUGAGCAUAUAUUGUCACUGGGGCGGGAAAAUUCUGUCUCCCAUCUUGGUGACUUCCUGUACAUGUUGGACUACAGCAUUUUUCCCCCUUUUCACUUGCUGAUCCCAAUGCAGCAAAACAGGUUAGCUUCUCUUUCUGUCCAGGGAUAUCCUUAAGAGCUUGAGCUUUAAACAGGAGCCUGUUUUCUCUUGGACUUGAGUUUUAAUGAGCAGAAGGGACAGCAAACUGGGAAUGUAUCCAAAUGGAGUAUCUAGCACAUUUGUUGCCUCCACUUAACCAAAUGAUUGAGGAGUGACUGGAGCAUCUGAAUUUCAGAAACCUUCUACCCCCUGAACAGAGAGGAAAGAUAGGUUGGAUGCCAGAGCUUUAGGUCAUGUUCCUUUCAUCUUUAUCUCAUAUUCAGAUUGUCUGAUGUUCCUCCCUGUCACUUUGAUCUUUUUUUAUUUCAUAAGAGUUUAGAGUUUACAUAGGUGUAUCCUGUAUCUCGGUUCAAUAUGUAAAUCCUGCAGCUUGAUGAAAUUGCUUGCUACUGGAUAACUCUUUGGAUAACAUUGCCUAGAGCAAAGCGGGAGAAGAUCAUGAGGUAAGCCAGCACAAGAGAAGCAGAUCUGCUUUUUUCUAAGAAUACAGGGAACGAAGAUUUUACCUUCAAAAUAGAAAUGAAUUCAUGUAGCACUGUUCCAGGCUGCACGGAAUGGUGCCACGGUCACAGAUUGCGUAAGUUCAUACUGCCUCACUUGCAUCUCAUCUCGCCUUAUCUCUGAGAGAUCCAAUUUAUGGUAGCUGAGAUAAAGUAGCCUCCAGGGUAUUACAUUCAUCCCUUUCAUAAAUCAAGAACUGCUUUUUGUUACUAGAGAUCUAAAUCCAGAAAGAGAGGAAAACACAUGGCGUUAGGUUUUGUAAACGGCCAAUUGGCAUGUCUCUGCCAUAGCUCUUUGCAGCUUUUGGCUGUUUCUCAAAGCAGAAAGUAACAGGGUUUGUGUUCUGUAUUCUGAUGAAUCAAUACAGAAAACCAGAAAAAAAUCAGUGAUUUCCCACUGAGAAUUCGGAACUCUCUCCUCCACCAAAAUACAGCAUCAUUCGUUUUUAUAAUUGGUUGGUUUUUUUCUCCUGCUACAGAAGAUGCAUGCUGAUGAUUACCAGUAGACUGUGUGUGAUCCUUGCCACUGAUUUGGACACAGUUUUGUGGCUACUCCUAAUCUUUCAGGAUCCUGCUGUCCUCCCACCUGCCAACGGAGACAUGUCUGUAAGUGGAUAAUUAGGCUUACCCAAGUGGUUGAGUGAGGUUUAGUUAAUGCUGCUAAAGUAAUUUGUGAUUGCUUAAUCAAAGUGCUGCAUAAGAGCAGCCGUUUA